UCACUCCCAGAGCUUCCUUCAACUUUAACGCACUUGGAGUUUACAAAUUGCAUUUCAUUGCAACAACUUCCAGAUAUGUCAAGGCUAAAAAAAUUGAAGAUUUUACAUUUUUGUGGCUGCGAAAAGUUGGAGGAGAUUAGAGGCCUUGAGGGAACAGGAUCCUUGGAAGAGUUUUCCCUGGCUGCUUGUCACCCCAUUGAGUCACUCCCAAAGCUUCCCUCGACUUUAGCCUCAUUGAAAGUUGUAAACAGUACUUCAGUACAGAAACUUCUAGAUUUGUCAAACUUAAAACAUUUGAAGUCAUUAUCGCUUAGUGAUUGCAAAAAGUUGGAGGAGAUUCGAGGCCUUGAGGGAACAGAAUCCUUGGAAGAGUUUUCCCUGGCUGCUUGUGAUACGAUUGAGUCUCUCCCAGAACUUCCCUUGACUUUAACCUUAAUUAAAGUCGAGAAUUGCAAUUCAUUAUAGAAACUUCCAGAUUUGUCAAGCCUGAAAAAAUUGAGGAAAUUAAUACUUAGUAAUUGCAAAAGGUUGGAGAUUCGAGGCCUUGAGGGAACAGAAUCCUUAGCAAUGUUGAACAUGCAUGUCUGCGACACCAUAACACAUACUCCAAGGAAGAUACUUGGCCAGGGAACACUUUUAGUUGAUGAGUCGGAGAGAAGUGAUUCGUUGAAAGUUAAUGAUGGGAUAUAUAAGGGGAUAAUUUUGUGCCUUGUUUAUGCAUUA